GAUGAACGCUGGCGGCGUGCUUAACACAUGCAAGUCGAACGGGAAUUAUUUUAUUGAAACUUCGGUCGAUUUCAUUUAAUUCUAGUGGCGGACGGGUGAGUAACGCGUGGGUAACCUGCCUUAUACAGGGGGAUAACAGUCAGAAAUGGCUGCUAAUACCGCAUAAGCGCACAGAGCUGCAUGGCUCAGUGUGAAAAACUCCGGUGGUAUAAGAUGGACCCGCGUUGGAUUAGCUGGUUGGUGGGGUAACGGCCCACCAAGGCGACGAUCCAUAGCCGGCCUGAGAGGGUGAACGGCCACAUUGGGACUGAGACACGGCCCAGACUCCUACGGGAAGCAGCAGUGGGGAAUAUUGCACAAUGGGGGAAACCCUGAUGCAGCGACGCCGCGUGAAGGAAGAAGUAUCUCGGUAUGUAAACUUCUAUCAGCAGGGAAGAUAGUGACGGUACCUGACUAAGAAGCCCCGGCUAACUACGUG
rnacentral:rRNA from 1 species